UUUAAAUAACCGCAGUAUUUAAUUGUGCGAAGGUAGCAUAAUAAUUUUUUCCUUAAUUGGGAGGUUGGAUGAAUGGGUUAACGAGAUAUAAACUCUAUUUAAUGUUAAAUUAGAAUUUUUAAAAAAGGUGAGAAUACCUUUUAGAUUUAAAGGGACGACAAGACCCUGGAAGCUUUAAAGUAUUCAUUCUUUUUAACUGGGGCGGUUAAUAAUAAAAACGUUAUNAUUAAAAACAUUUGAAUGGAUUUAGUAAUCUUAAGUUGAGCAGGCAGAUUAAGCUACUCCAGGGAUAACAGCGCAAUUAAUUUAGAGAGUUCCAAUCAAAAAAUUAGUUUGCGACCUCGAUGUUGAAUUAAGAAGGCAACCUGAAGCAGAAGGUAGGUGGUGUGAGUUUGUUCAACUCUUAAAUACUUACAUGAUCUGAGUUCAGACCGG
rnacentral:rRNA from 1 species